rnacentral:misc_RNA from 1 species
GCAAACUUGGUCAUUUAGAGGAAGUAAAAGUCGUAACAAGGUCAUCGUAGGUGAACCUGCGGUGGGAUCAGUAAAUAAUAUCUGUAUUCUUGGCGUCUGCGGGCUCGUGUCUUUCUUUAAUUGGGGGAGACAUGGCCUGUGUGAUGUCAUGACGUGUGGAUCUUGGGUUUAUUCGAAUGGUUGCCUUCUUUGGUUCUGUAUCACCAUUACUUAUCGUGGUGGGUGGUCCAGGGCCAGAGGGGGUGCCGCUCUCACUUUGCUGAACGCAUUUGACACUCGAAAUCAAAUUGACCAAUACAACAAUUAUAACAGAAACAACUAUCCAUGGCGGAUCCCUUGGCUCUUGCAUCGAUGAAGAACGCAGC